UCAAAAAAUACAGAAAAGAAAGAAUCUACCACAGAUACCCUUUUAUUAGAUCAGAAGAGAGAAAGCUUGUAGACGCCUCGUGAACUCACCCCUUCCACUGCGAAGUGCCAGACCCUGGGCUGGACACCGUGGGAGAGGCCAGCUGGGCAAGUCUGUCCUUCGGGGAGGUCUGGGGUGUUUGGGGAAGGGAGAUAGGGACACACAAUCCUCACAACAACUGCAAAAAGAAGUGUGAGCACGUGGGGGCAGAGGGAGCGUCAGUCAGACGGGAGGUGAUCGGGACUGGAGAGAGAUGUCCCAGAGGAGGUGGCUUGGGCAGGUGGGCUUUGACUGGCGUCUAUGGGAGAGGAGCCCGUAGGAAGAAGAGAGAGCAGGACAGCUGGGAUUGAGUUGGGCUGAAGCCGGACCGGGGAGGGUGUGGCAAGAGAUGAGGCUGAACCGGUGGGCUGGAGGAGGGGGUCCCAGGAAAAGCAGCUCUGGUCCCACCGUCAGCCCUGCCUUUUAUUAUUAAUCUCUCUUGUGAAUUCAGGUGGGAAAAGGCCUGCUGAGAGUAGUGCCAGAAUUCACAGGAGAAAGAUUCUGUAAUUUCUUUGAGCUCUGUGACUCUGGACAAAGUAUUCAGUAUUAAUGCAGUUGACCAUGACGUCUUCUGUGUGCGCGACUGACAGACCAAAUUACCUUUCCUUAUCUCCUGGCGAGAAAAAAGGACCAUUUUCUUGACAUAUUUCAUAAUCAUUUCACCUGCUUGCCCCCUAUGGAGAGCGCCGGUGACCCGGCCCCCUCCCCUCCCACACAAUGCAGGAAGUAUGUCAUCUAAUAAGCCCAGUUUCUAAAGAAUGUUUUUAAUCUUGGAAUAGUGAGUGUGAUUUUUGAUUGUAUUUUUAAUUCUCUAUCUACUUUUUUAAAAGCACACGCUUUUGUUCUAAUUCUCAUCUUAGCUCAUCAGGGCCAGGAGGAAGCGUGGACAUCUUCCAUUCCAUGGAUCUGCUUAGCAUUUGACAGAGCAGCAGGGGAGUCGUGACCCCCAGGGGCUCAGUAGAGCAUGAGCCUGGCCAUUGCCAAGCGGCCCGCCCAUGCGUGCUGUGGUUACACGGUCUUCAUGCUGGCUGGGGAGCCCCGAGAACUCGGGUUUGGUUCGUCCUCCAAACACGUGAACACGUGUUGAGCACUGACUGUGAAUUCGGCAGCUGUGAUGGGGGCUGAACUCAGGGCCAAGGAGCCAGGCUCCACUCCACUGUGACACCAGGUGUGGGGCUCGG
rnacentral:lncRNA from 1 species